AGCAGUAGGUAUUGAAUGGUGCAGUUAUGGGUGAGGUCAGAGGCGUGGCCACGCCACAAGUGCCAUUUGUCUGCAAGCCCAUUUUGAGAGAGAGCUGGCAUUGUUUUGCUGUGUGCCAGAGGGAUAUUAGUCCUCUAUUCUCACCCAAACAACUGUUUGUUGGUAUAAUCGACACUGAAUAGUUCAGAGACAGUCUUUUCACUUGGACCUUUACCUUUUUCAGUUGGAUUGUGACUUUGCAUCCAGAUUCCGUUGGGAUUUACUUUUAGUAGCAUUUUUUUUAGAGUUCUUUCCUUUGGAUUACACAUCUUUCUAUGGACUUGGAUUUGGACUUCCAUUCAAGGACUGAAAGAAUCAACCGGAGGUUCUGUGUCUGGGACAAGGAGAGAUGCCAGGUCUGCAGCAAGAAGAGAUGCUGAGUUUGUCCAGAGAAGAGACACGGUGUGGCCGAUGACAGGAAGGGAGCCUACUGUGGCAACAGAGAAUAGAUCUGGAGGCCCACGCCGGGAAGAGAGUGGCGUUGCUGUUCACAGAUACAAACUACCAUUGAAGGUCAAGUCUCCCAACUUUGGAGGACGGGAGGAUGAUGAAGAUCCUUUGAUCUAUCUAGAGAAAUAUGAAGAAUUUCUGGCUCUUCAUCCUUUAACACAUGAAGGGUUGUUGGUGUAACGGCUGUUUGAAGAAUGAGACCAAGAUGCAGCGUGGAACGUGUUCAUGAUUUUUAAUAAAACUGAACACUGGAAAAACAAAGCAAGCGAACGAAACAGUUCCGCCUGGUGCAGACACAAAAACAGAAAACGACCCACAAAACAAAGGAGGUUAAGCCUGCACUGAAGCAUUUACAGGAGAAGCUGAAUGUCUUCAAUGACGUUAAACUGACCUGUUUAACGUCAUUGACCUGUUUAACGUCGUGAUCGCAGCCACAUUUCCACCCUGUGGAAUUAUGGAUGAUAGACUGGUGACUGAUGUUAGUAUCAGAUACAUUCUUGUUUGAUAUCUCCAGAGCCAGGCUCAGCACACAGAGAGGCAAAUCGAGGAGGAGUUUGAGAAGCUUCCUUUGUACCUACAAGAGGAAGAGGAGGUCAGGAUAGUUGCACUAAGGGAGGAAGAGAAGCAGAAGAGUCAGAAGAUUAAGGAGAUGAGCAGAGAGAUGUCAUCACUGUCAGACACAAUCAGAACCAUAGAAGAGGAGCUGGGACCUAAAAGCAUAACAUUCCUACAGCACUACAGUGCCACCUUGGAAAGAACCCAGUGCACAUUGCCAGAUCAUGAGAGGGUUUCAGGAGGACUGAUUGAUAUGGCAAAGCACAUGGGUAACCUGCAGUAUAGAGUCUGGGAGAAGAUGCAGGGCAAGAAUUCAAUACAUUCCAGUGACUCUAGACCCCAACACUGCAAACUCAUAUCUAAUCUUGUCUGAUGAUAUACUGCAACUUCCAGACAACCCAGAGAGAUUUGAUGACUAUAAAAUGGUCCUGGCCUCUGAGGGCUUUAACUCAGGAACACACGAUGAGGUUGGGCACAAUACAGGACUGUUCGUUGGUGUGAUCACAUAGUCUUGCUGGAGGAAGGGAGACUUCGGCAUGUGUCGAGGAUCCUGGGGUGUGUGGUUUUUAAAGGAUAGGUAUUUAACGUAUGUUCUAAUGGUGCCACGUGUUCACAGACUCGAUCGCCUAACCGUGAGACAGAAACCCAAGAUGGUCAGAGAGCAGCUGGACUGGUACAGAGGAAAGCUGUCAUUCUCUGACCCAGAUAAUAACACACAUAUACACACAUUCACACACACUUUCAUUGAGAGAGUCAGGAACCACUGUAUUCUCCAUCCUCUGAAGGUGUUACCAGUGAAGGUCUCUGUUACAGUGGAUACAGCCUCCGUCUGAAUCAGGGAUUAGCGUGUUGAAUGAGUCAGUAACACUUACUGAGGCCCUUCACCUGCUGUAACACUCUCAUCAGUCAAACAAUGAUAACUCAUCAUUGUGUCCACCUUGUCUACAAACAGCAGGUAUACACAUCUGACUGACAUUACAGUAGUGCAGAAAUGGAGCAGCUUGAUUGGAAACAUUUCCCUUCAGACUAUUUAGUGAAAAAGGUCACCUAUAAAAUAAUCAUUCACAGGAGGUUGUGGGUGUUAAUAAAAAAUAAAAAGAAAGUGUAUUUGCCAUUGUGAACAUAGGUAACUUGCUGAUAAAAAGUUGUACAUUCUUUAAAAAGUCUGAGUUGGGAUAGGCUACACAGAUGCCACCUUAUUUCCAAACCAUACAGUUUAAACCAUCCAAUGAUACUUAUCAUGUGUCUUAAUUAAGACUUCAAUUCAAUUCAUGAAGUUAAUAAAAACACUCCAUGGGCCAUCCUUGUCAAGACGGCUCCUCAGCCCUCCUAACACAGAGGAAAGUGGUAGUUGAGCUUGCAUUACACAAGAUGGGGUGAGUGUAUUAAAGUGUAUCAAACAGACACUAGAGGGCAUCCUAGCCUUUCCAUGAGGACAAAGAAACACUGAAUCAGCUGUAUAAAAAAUGAUUAAAUCAUAUGCUUGAGGCUUUGUCCUGUCCUGAAAAGCUAACAAGAGCUGCUAGUAGGCUAAAUGGUCUGGGUUGAAUAACCCUUCGAUUUAGUCAAUCUAGGAUAAAUUGCCAUUAAAUUAAAGAAUAUAUGCAGAUUGUUCAAAUAAAUGACUGAUUUAAUUAUUUUCCCCAAUAAACUGAGUUCAAAUGCACUUGAUUUUAACCCAUGCCUGAGAAAUACUAAACAUGUCAAUAUAAACACUUUGUGCUAAAAUAAGACAAGCCAGAUUCAUGUCUUUCCUAGCAUGCAUGUAGACGCUUAACAGUUUGAUAAGGAAUAGUGGGUGUAUGCUUUGAUGCUGGAUUCCACUCCUGUCAUUGGUUUGAGACCAAAGCAGCCAAUGAGACUGUUCAGUUAGAUUUCCUCAUGCAGAUACCAACCGCUGCAGUGGAGAAGAACUAAAGGCUUCUAAAUAAUACAGUUGCGACCCGUCAUUCAGGGCAGGUGAGAGCUCCACCUGUUUUGGGCCCCACAUUUUUAGCAAAAACAAUUACAAAUUGAACAGUCUCAUUGGCUGCUUUGGUCCCAAACCAAUGAGAGGGCUUGCCUGUUUUGCAUGUUAUUUUGGCAUUAAUACAUGUCACAUAUCAGUUUGAAAACAAUGUAUAUAAACAAUAUAUAUAUAUAUA